rnacentral:rRNA from 1 species
CCUACGGUGUGCAGCAGUGGGGAAUAUUGCGCAAUGGGCUAAAGCCUGACGCAGCGCCGCCGCGUGCGGGAUGAAGUUCUUCGGAUCGUAAACCUCUGUCAGCAGGGAAGAACGGUCACUGUGCUAAUCAGCAGUGAAUUGACGGUACCUGCAAAGGAAGCACCGGCUAACUCCGUGCCAGGAGCCCGGGUAAUACGGAGGGUGCGAGCGUUAAUCGGAAUUACUGGGCGUAAAGCGCUCGUAGGGGGUAUGUUUAGUCACAGGUGAAAUCCCCGCGCUCAACGUUGGAAAUGCAUUUGAAACUGGCAAACUAGAGUGUGUGAGAGGAUAGUGGAAUUACAGGUGUAGGAGUGAAAUCCGUAGAUAUCUGGAGGAACAUCAGUGGCGAAGGCGACUAUCUGGCACAUAACUGACGCUGAGGAGCGAAAGCGUGGGUAGCAAACAGGAUUAGAUACCCGAGUAGUC